UACGUAGGGUGCAAGCGUUGUCCGGAAUUAUUGGGCGUAAAGAGCUCGUAGGCGGUCUGUCGCGUCUGCUGUGAAAACUCAGGGCUUAACCCUGAGCUUGCAGUGGGUACGGGCAGACUAGAGUGCGGUAGGGGAGACUGGAAUUCCUGGUGUAGCGGUGAAAUGCGCAGAUAUCAGGGAGGAACACCGGUGGCGAAGGCGGGUCUCUGGGCCGUAACUGACGCUGGAGGAGCGAAAGCAUGGGGAGCGAACAGG
rnacentral:rRNA from 1 species